rnacentral:rRNA from 1 species
AACGAACGCUGGCGGCAUGCCUAACACAUGCAAGUCGAACGAGACCUUCGGGUCUAGUGGCGCACGGGUGCGUAACGCGUGGGAACCUGCCUUUAGGUUCGGAAUAACUCAGAGAAAUUUGAGCUAAUACCGGAUGAUGUCUUCGGACCAAAGAUUUAUCGCCUUUAGAUGGGCCCGCGUUGGAUUAGCUAGUUGGUGGGGUAAAGGCCUACCAAGGCGUCGAUCCAUAGCUGGUCUGAGAGGAUGAUCAGCCACACUGGGACUGAGACACGGCCCAGACUCCUACGGGAGGCAGCAGUGGGGAAUAUUGGACAAUGGGCGAAAGCCUGAUCCAGCAAUGCCGCGUGAGUGAUGAAGGCCUUAGGGUUGUAAAGCUCUUUUACCCGAGAUGAUAAUGACAGUAGCGGGAGAAUAAGCUCCGGCUAACUCCGUG